rnacentral:rRNA from 1 species
GACGUAGGGCGCAAGCGUUAUCCGGAAUUAUUGGGCGUAAAGCGUCCGCAGGUGGCACUUCAAGUCUGCUGUCAAAGACCGGGGCUUAACCCUGGAAAGGCAGUGGAAACUGAAGCGCUAGAGUGUGGCAGGGGUAGAGGGAAUUCCCGGUGUAGCGGUGAAAUGCGUAGAGAUCGGGAAGAACAUCGGUGGCGAAAGCGCUCUACUGGGCCAUAACUGACACUCAGGGACGAAAGCUAGGGGAGCGAAUGGG